rnacentral:rRNA from 1 species
UACGGAGGAUGCGAGCGUUAUCCGGAUUUAUUGGGUUUAAAGGGUGCGCAGGCGGAAUGUCAAGUCAGCGGUAAAAUCGUGGAGCUCAACUCCAUCCAGCCGUUGAAACUGAUGAUCUUGAGUGGGCGAGAAGUAUGCGGAAUGCGUGGUGUAGCGGUGAAAUGCUUAGAUAUCGCGCAGAACCCCGAUUGCGAAGGCAGCGUACCGGCUCCACACUGACGCUGAGGCACGAAAGCGUGGGGAGCAAAUAGG